GUCUCUGUGUGGUCUCUUCAGCAUAGCAACAGCAGCGUAGCUGAACAUCUUACGGAUGGCCCAGGGCUCCAAAGGCUCGUUUCCUAAGUGAGAGAGAGCCUGGCUGAAGCUGUAUUACCAUUCAUUCUCCAGCCUCCGAAGUCUCAAAGCAUCACUUCCACCAUACUCUAACUGUCAAGACAAACACAAAGGCCCAGAAACUGCCAGACUGUCUUCUGAAGUGGCUAUAAUAUUUACACUCCCAUCAGCAGUGUAGAAGGGGUCUCACUAUGUUGUCUGGAGUGCUGUGGUGGAGUGGAGUGGCUAUUCACAGAGCCUGUUCUGCUGGGACACAGAAUCACUUGCUCCAUCUCAUACAUUGAUGAUGAUUAAUUUGUAUGUGUACCUUCCAAAAAAGAUGGUUGUGUUUGAAUGGAGGCCUUCUGGACAGGAAAAUAUGGAGAGUGCGUGCUUUGGAUUCAAGACUGGGAAUGAGGGGACCAGAAACCUAUUCUGUGGCUGUUUCUUGUUAGGACUUUCCUAAGCCUCUGGAAAAGUGCAAAGUACAAUUAACAUUUGAGUCUGUCUGAGUCAUGAAGAAAUGGAGAUUACUGAAAAUAAUUCAUUUUGGUAUCUUCUUACAUCCUGAGAGACUAAUCUUUCCAAGUUCAUCUGAGGCUCCUCUUCUCCAUGACAACCUCAUCCAGGGAUUUCUUCCUGUCCUGGUGUUUUAUGACAUCAUCCUCAUCUCGCUUGUAAGGAUAAUAGCCUUCCUCCAAACCUCACACACUUUUGGAGGAGAUCACUUUUUUUAAAGUGCAUGGAAAUGUUUUGAAACAGUGAAAUCUAUAAUGAUAGGUUUCAUAAUUCUAACAUCCACACCAUAUGAAUCACAUCCUUCCUGAGAUAAUGAGCACACAAUUGCCUGGAUACCUGAAGGAAUGGAGACAGCGGCAGAAAACACUGCAGAGAGGUGGAAACAUCCGUUAAUAUUUUAAAAUCCCAUUACUGCUACCAACAAUAAUAAUGGAUGCAUAGAAAUAGAUCUGGAUUAGCUGAGCUUGAAACAGUCCAUCUCACACACACACAAAAGAAUUUCAGAUACAGUGAACCCACAUGUUGAAGCUUUCUAGUAUAAUAAAAAUUUCAACUGUUCUGUUGAAUCAUCUGCCUGAUUGGAGGCUACAGAAAAGAUGUCAUCUUAGGAGUGCUUGCUCUGAGUGAGGCUCAUCUUCAAAUCUGAAUGACCACAAGGAGAUUUGAUUAUACAUGUGAACACCUCAGAAGGCACAGCCCACCCAGAAGGCAGACAGGUCAGGCUGCUUUUUCUUCAUUGCUUGGAUUCAAUCCUCCGGGCGGCUCAGGCUCAAACAUAACUUAAGCAUGAUUAAACUUUAGAAGAAGCUGCCAGGAAGACUGUGAAAUCUUCAUGCCCAAGGAUCCCUAAAAUUAGGAGCAACAACCACUUGGCUCAGACGGUUUAUGGAGGCAAAGGUUUGGAUGGGAUUAGAGAUUUCUAAAUGUGAGUUCGUGUCCUCUGCCAGACCACCUUACUUCCACCAUUCCUCAGCAAAUCAAGAAAAACAGGAGAAAAGACAUGCCUUUCCAUAAGUUAAAUCUAUUCUGUUUUAAUUCUAUAUUAUAUCUGCUGUACAACUUCUUUUGUUUGUAACACCAUAUUGUUGCUAGUAACUGGAAAUUAAUUUUCACAUGCCUCAGCUUAGAAAAAUAAAAAGCAGCCCUGCAUCAAUCCCAA
ensembl:lncRNA LINC00635 long intergenic non-protein coding RNA 635